AACCCAUGGUGAGGGCACCUUCUCAAAAGGUCCUUGUAUCUCUCCAAUGCAUCGUAAAGAGUUUCUAAGUGGAUCUGCACAAACGAAGAGAUAUCAUUACGUAAUUU
rnacentral:snoRNA from 1 species